AUCACAGUAUGAAUUAUUAUUAAUUAUAUUCUUUUUUUAAAUAAUGUAUUUUUAUUGUUGUAUGAUAAUUAUUUAGCUAUCAUUGUGUUAGAAAUUUGAAAUAAAUAAUAAUUAAAAAAAAAACGAUUCUGCAAGUCAGCUGUAGGACACUUAAACAAAUAAUCAUAAAAUAAUCAUUUUCGGUCAUUGGGGAAAAAACAAUAUUGGUUAAUCUCAGCUGUAAAUGGUGCACUAGUUUGCUUGUGUCAACACAAUAAUGUUGGGUAGCCCUUCAAAUAACGGAGGCAUUAGGAUGCUGGCCCCCCCUGCACCCAAUGAUGACAGGCGGGUUGAGUUUGUGGCUCUCACGGCUGUUCACACUGAAAGAAGCGAGCCAUCGACCCCAGAGCGUGGACACCCGUCUCACCGCACCGGCUUACUGGGCACACCACUGCCGGUGCCACCAGGCCUGAGGGCGACCCCUUCUGCCUCCAGCAAACGCUACAGAAAGUUACAGAACUGCCUGUACAACGUGCUGGAGAGACCCAGAGGAUGGGCGUUCAUCUACCAUGCCUUCAUUUUUCUCCUAGUGUUCAGCUGUCUGGUGCUUUCUGUUUUCUCCACCAUCCCAGACCAUCAAACAUUUGCCAACGAGGCGCUCUUCAUCCUGGAGUUUGUGAUGAUCGUGGUUUUUGGGCUGGAGUACUUUGUGAGGAUCUGGGCAGCCGGAUGCUGCUGCCGGUACAGAGGAUGGCAGGGUCGGCUACGGUUCGCCAGAAAGCCCUUCUGUGUCAUAGACUUCAUUGUCUUUGUGGCGUCGCUGGCAGUGAUAGCAGCUGGCACGCAGGGAAACAUCUUCGCCACAUCUGCUCUGCGCAGCAUGCGUUUUCUGCAGAUCUUGCGCAUGGUGCGCAUGGACCGCCGGGGAGGAACCUGGAAGCUGCUUGGCUCUGUGGUGUACGCUCACAGCAAGGAGCUGAUCACAGCCUGGUACAUUGGCUUCCUGGUACUGAUCUUUGCUUCGUUCUUGGUCUAUUUGGCUGAGAAAGAGGAUAACCCAGAGUUUUCCACUUAUGCUGACUCCCUCUGGUGGGGAACAAUCACCCUCACUACGAUCGGCUACGGUGACAAGACGCCACACACCUGGCAAGGUCGGCUUUUAGCGGCUUGUUUUGCCCUGCUGGGAGUGUCCUUCUUUGCCCUACCGGCUGGCAUCCUGGGUUCAGGUUUUGCUCUGAAAGUGCAGGAGCAGCAUCGGCAGAAACACUUUGAGAAGAGGAGGACUCCCGCUGCCAACCUGAUACAGGCUGCAUGGCGUCUCUACUCUACAGAUGCUCAGCACUCAUAUCUCACAGCCACCUGGUAUUUCUAUGACAGUAUGCUGCCGUCCUUCAGAGAACUGACAUUACUGUUCAGUCACCUCCAACGGCAGCGUAGCACCAAGAAGGUUCUUCACAACUCCUACCACACCUUGCUGUCGGGGCUCCGGCCGUAUAGCUCCCCCUACCUGUCUGGGGACAGUGGGAAGAUAGGCUUCCGUGACCGCAUUAGGAUGAACAAUUCACGCUCCUCCCAGGCUAUCCGGAGCAAGGCUUCUCCUUUACCCCCAGGUAAUGUUCGGCGCUCCCCCAGCACGGAGAACAUUCCUGAAGCCACCAGCCCCGGCAAGGUCCAGAAGAGCUGGAGCUUCAAUGAUCGGACUCGAUUCCGUACCUCUCUCCGCCUAAAACCACGUCCAGCUGCAGAUGUGGAGGGAGUCGGAGAGGAGCACACAGAGGACAAAUCUUACUCUGAUGUCGCCAUGGAGGAUGUGAUACCAGCAGUGAAGACCCUAAUUCGUGCUGUUAGGAUUCUUAAAUUCCUGGUGGCCAAGAGGAAGUUUAAAGAAACCCUGCGGCCAUAUGAUGUGAAAGAUGUGAUUGAGCAAUAUUCAGCUGGACACCUCGAUAUGCUGGGCAGAAUCAAAAGCCUGCAGACAAGGGUGGAUCAGAUCAUAGGCCGUGGUACCAUUCCAUCAGAUAAAAAAGUUAGGCCUGAAAAAGGGGAGAAAACUCCUCCUGAACUGGAACAGAUGGACGAAUUAAGCAUGAUGGGACGUGUGGUGAAAGUGGAGAAGCAGGUGCAGUCGAUCGAAAACAAGCUGGACCUGCUCCUAAACUUCUACUCGCAGUGCCUGAAAAAGGGCUCGUCCCACUUCACUCUGUCGUCCCUGCUGGAACCUGACUUGACUUCUGACUACCACAGUCCCACCGAUCAGCGUGACCUGUUCCCCUCCGCAAACACCCUUAAUAUCUCCCACUCAGACAGUGGCAACAUGGAAUGACCCCGAGACACCCGGCAGCAGUCCCGCUCUGACUGUAGCAUCAGGGCAACUCAUCCAAAGGCUAAAUACCUCCCUAAAUUAACCUAGCACAGUUCCUCUAAACAACUGCUGUAUCCUUGCAUGGGUUCAUCCUUUGCACAGUGGAUGGUGGCUUCUGGCCAACCUUUCUAGACUUUGCCUUGCAAACUAUGCCCUGAUAUUUCGCAAUGUCCGGUUUUUAUUUUAACAUGCCUGUAGUAACAGUCUUUCUUCUUUUUACUUUAUUUCAACUGAUUCAGGAAAGUUUUAGAGAAAUAUUCUUACAUGGAUGAAGAUAUAAUUGAGGUUUUGUUGAACAUUUGGACUUCUUCCAGUAGAUGGCAGAGUUUUAUCUGAAGUGGUCUUCAACCGUCACUUUUUAUCAGUCUUCCAAAAUGUGUGGGGAUGAAUCUCUUGACUGCUACAAAACUGUCCCCUUUACAUUGCAUUGAUGGUGUUUCUUUCUGGAAGUCUCUGUGCCAAUAUCAUUUCUUGGUUUUGUUGAGUUUUUGAUAAGCAAUAGGCCCCCAGAGCAAUUCUAUUUUUCUCUCUGUCUUUUUUUCUAAGAAAUCAGGGCAUUGUGAACUGAAUUUGAAUUUCGGACUCUCCUUCUCGGCCUUGGCCUUACACUUUGGCCUGAUGCAAUAGACUCCUUGUGCCACCAGAAGUCACUGAGCUUCUAAUGAAUGUACUGCAUCCAGUACUUUUCCUUUAUUUAUCACUGACAUGUCCUUUGAGAAAACAGCAUCACAGUUUGCUAUAAAGAACAGCAUGAUAGACUGAUGGACGGUAUUUCCACCAAAGCAUCAUCUCCUGUCAUUUUGAUCUUGCAUGGUUCCUCUUGCCACUUCAGGAAGGAAGGAACUUCAAAAUGUGAGACCCUCAGGUUUCCUUCUCACAUCUCUUUGGCUUAUUGGGUCCCUCUCUUCUGCGAUAGCACCCUGCCACUGCAUCACCUCUCAGAAGCCCACCGUGCAAAAAAUAAGAAAAUCCAAUAAAUAAAUAAAAAUAUUCUUUGAUGAAAUAGCCAGCAUUAAAGUGCAUGUUAAUAGUUUGAAUAGUUCAGGCAAGUUUGUUUUAAUUUAGUGAGGUUAGUAAUAGAGGCUGUUCAUAUGCCCUUCUCUCUGAUCCUCAGCCUCUUUGCCUUGCAGCCCAUCUCUUCAUUCAGCAUGUGCAUCAGUCUAACUGCAAACAAACAAGAGGGUCAAAUGUAGUCUAUCUUCUCCCCAAAUGAGACUCUCAAUUAGUUGAGAUUUAAAGGGAUAUUUCACUCAAAAAUGUCCUUCCAAACCUGUAUGAUGGACUUUUUUUCACAUUUCUACACUGUUAAAGAAAUCAGUAAAAAUAUGACACAAUGUACUGUAUUAAUACUGUACUGUACUAUAUUAGGUACCUGUAUUUUUAUUUUAUACAGGUGUUUUUUGCUCUACAUUGCAUUGUGUUUUAGAGUUAAUGGAAAUGUCUGUAAAAUUACUGGACAAUUACCAAUACAUUUUUCUUUUCUUUUUUUUUUUAUACAGUGUAGGGUUCUCCAAAAGCAAAAGUCUUCAUAGUUGGAGAGGCUUCUAUUUAAUGGUGAAUGGAAACAAUGAAAGACGUUUCGUCAGCUGAACAAUCAGUAUGUUAAACAACAAUACAAUCCUGAACACACUGUACUUCUAGCCCUCAAGCCUCGUUCAUCCCUGUCAAAAAUGAAAUACAGUGUUACCCUCACUAAGAUCUAUUAAAGCCAUACACAUUUGAAACAGUAUGAGUAAAUUAUGACAGAAUUGUCAUUUUUGGGUGAACUAUCCCUUUAAUUCUACUAGGUUAUGUUUCACCAGGUUAUGACCUCACAGGUUAUGACCUUGUUUUGCUACAUUCAUCAUCCCUUGAAGAUCAAUAGGUCAGAGAUCAAUCCGGCAUGAAGAAAUACUUAUCAUACAUUAUCAUAAAAAGAUUCUCGUAGUGUCUCACACGUGACCUUAACCUCAGCCAUGUACAGACUCGCCACUAUUUUAGAAGAAUUGAGUAAACUGGGAACACUGAGACGUAAUCCGAGUCAUUGAGAUGAGCAUUGAUGCAUGAUCUCAACAUUAAUAUCUAUGCAUGCAGUUAUGGGACUGGUUCCAGCUUUAUAUGACAUGCACUUCAGGUAACGGACAGCAUGGAGGGGAUUGUAGGGAAUACAGCACUCCUCUGCCUUACUGACAUAGCGAGAGCACACUGACACAACGGUGAACCUAAUAGAUCGUUUAGGCCACUUGUCAUGGCAUUCAUUCAUCAUUCUAAUGGACAGAACUGGAGUACACAAUUCAAGCAGAAUUUUCUAUAUUUACAUUUCUCUUGCACCUUCACAGAUGCCAGUACAUGCAUUUUGAAAAUCUCACUCUUCUUUCACCACAUUUGUUUCUACAGGACUGUAUUUGAAAACAAACACUUGUUUUCUGAACACACUCUCUAACUUUUCUGUCCCUUUAAACAGAACUCUGAACCUUCAGGCAUUACGUAAUACUUUUUUCCUCAUUGACAUGAUUGGUAACUGCUAACGUGAGAGGUAACUUGAUCUAUAUAAUAUGUAUGUUUAACUCUGACAUGAUUGUAAAAAAUGAAUAAAUUCAGAUUUUGUUUAUGAAAAUGGGUGUAACAGAUAUGUAAGUAAUUUGCAAUAAUUUAAUGCUCUUCUAUAUGCAUUUUUAGCUGGUGAGAGUAAAAAUAAUACCGUUAAACAUGUACUGUCAACAAGCACAUCUUAUGAUCAGUUGAGUUAAACUGUAUUUGCAUAUCUGUAUUUGUAUCAGCUGAACUAUAUAUGUAACUAUAAACAUAUUAAUAUAACAAAACUGUAAGAAUAGUGUAGACUCAUAGA